rnacentral:rRNA from 1 species
AGAACUUAGCAGAGAUGCUUUGGUGCCUUCGGGAACUCUGAGACAGGUGCUGCAUGGCUGUCGUCAGCUCGUGUUGUGAAAUGUUGGGUUAAGUCCCGCAACGAGCGCAACCCUUAUCCUUUGUUGCCAGCGGCUCGGCCGGGAACUCAAAGGAGACUGCCGGUGAUAAACCGGAGGAAGGUGGGGAUGACGUCAAGUCAUCAUGGCCCUUACGGCCAGGGCUACACACGUGCUACAAUGGCGCAUACAAAGAGAAGCGACCUCGCGAGAGCAAGCGGACCUCAUAAAGUGCGUCGUAGUCCGGAUUGGAGUCUGCAACUCGACUCCAUGAAGUCGGAAUCGCUAGUAAUCGUAGAUCAGAAUGCUACGGUGAAUACGUUCCCGGGCCUUGUACACACCGCCCGUCACACCAUGGGAGUGGGUUGCAAAAGAAGUAGGUAGCUUAACCUUCGGGAGGGCGCUUACCACUCUGUGAUUCAUGACUGGGGUGAAGUCGUAACAAGGUAAGCGUAGCGAG